AAUUCCCCCAUUUUGGGCUCGCGCGCAUUUGAUUAUAUUAUGCGCAGUCUACACACGACGGCAACCGACAACCUUCACUUCCGCAUUUCGCCUUUUAAGGAGAUAUCAAAGGUAAAAUAGACACGCCGUAAACCUAAGAAAAUGCGGACUUAUUUCUAUCGGCUCCCGGACUCUCCUAAUUGCGCACCUUGUCCUAAACGGGCUAUAGGAAUUUCGCCCAGCUAUGGAUUGCAACUAUUCGGCAUAUCAUGGGAAUGUUUGAACGAUAGUAAAUUGUGUAUCCCAUCAGACCUUGUGACGUAUUUUGCGUGUCGCAAUAUUUUUUGUACACACGGAGAUCUAACUGUUAUCGGUUGCCAACCAUCGUAUAAGCUCGAAGGACUGGCUCAUUUCCCAGCCAGAAAAAAAAAGAAACCACGCAAGGUUUUUAACGAGAGAGGGACUCGGGCGCACUUGACUAAACAGCAAGCCAAUCUUUCAUCGAUGUUGAUCGUCCAACCGUGAGCAGCGUGAAGGGGAGGCAUGUCUGCCGAUUGCUGCAUAACAUGUUCUCUUCUCUCUCUCUUUGUUGCUGGCGAAUGCAUGUGGAAUAAUAGCGACACCUUGUAUAGGCAAGAUGACGUAAGACGAUACAUCCUCUGCCCGCCUCUGCCGUCAUUACAAUAAUAAUAAGAUGGGUGUAUAGAGAGGUAAAGGUUUCUAUUUGGUUAAAUGUACGGGGGAAUA